rnacentral:rRNA from 1 species
GACGAACCGUGCGAACGUUGUUCGGAAUCACUGGGCUUAAAGGGCGCGUAGGCGGGCUGUCAAGUCUGGGGUGAAAUGCCGCGGCUCAACCGUGGAACUGCCUUAGAUACUGACGGCCUCGAGGGAGAUAGGGGCAUGCGGAACUGUAGGUGGAGCGGUGAAAUGCGUUGAUAUCUACAGGAACUCCGGUGGCGAAAGCGGCAUGCUGGAUCUCUUCUGACGCUGAGGCGCGAAAGCUAGGGGAGCAAACAGG